CCAUUAAGCCAACGUAAAGUGUGAGAUAAGUCACUCUCGUUCAUGAUGACAAGCAGGUGUUCUCGCUAGCCAGCAUCCGAUUAUGACGCGGAUAGUUUAAAUCCACCAUUGAGAUACGGCUACAAGUCGUAAUCAGACCCGGAGAUGAGGGUGGUUUUUCGCAGCCUGCGUCUUCGAAGUGUUAGCCGUGCAUUAAGUCAUCGCUGACAGGUGGCGGAGUCUAAAGACGAAGCCUGCUUCCGUAACCCAUUGUGAGGUUUUGUGGUCGCAUUCUAUUCGCACUCCAUCUUGAUGCCACUUAACCGCACUGAACACAACAAGCCGAAAGCACCCUAGUGCUUCAUAAGGUCCAUUGAUCAAGAUAAACUCUCCCAGUCCAUACGUUUUGGGGGAUGAAUGGAAGAUUUUUCACAGAGCUUGAUUGAGGAGGGAAGACUUUAAUCAUGUCACCCAAAACCAAGGAGUCAGCACCGGUUUCUCAGUCUGGUCUGGAUCUGGUAGAAUCAACAGUUUCCCUAAAUGCACCCUGAAGCACAUCAAUAAAUUGCUCAAAAUGAAGCAAAUAUUUGCCACCAA